CAUAGAAUGGGUAAAACCCUGACUGCCUCAUGAUGGUGUUCAUGAGGGCAUUGGGGAACUUACUUAGAUAUGUGGUGGGACUAUCCCAAACUACACUUGUAUUGGAAAGGUGUCAGGGACCUGGAUGCAGUGGUCUUGCUGAUACCAGUGGAAUUGGAACUAUGGUCAUACCUACUGUCCCGACCUAUUGAGGGUCUCCCGUCUCACUCACGAAAGCUACUUAAUAAUAUAAAUUUAGCAGCACGAAGGACACUGGCAGCACAUUGGUUAAAGUUCCUUCUGUAUGGCACAUAGUUAUUAAAAUUGGGGAAAAUUACCUCAUGGAUAACUGCUAUAGUGUGCAAAACCUCUGCCUGAUUUCAUAAACUUAUCAUUCAAAUCGAACCUGGAAAGGAGCUGGAACUCCCUAGAAGAACAGUUUCGCUAUUUUACCCUCCCCAUCUU